rnacentral:lncRNA from 1 species
UUGUCUCUCAGAUUUCCAAUUUCAAAAGGUAGUCAUAGACUUUAUGAGAGCAAUUAGAUGUACUCGUUAUACUUCUCUAAAUCACAGAGAAAUAUACUCUCCUUUUCUUCUCUUUCCUCCUUCAGAAAUCAGAAGUUCAUUUCACUACAUCAAUUUCAUAAAUCGCACUAGAGGUAGUUUAAGAAGGAGAGAUGUUUUCCUGGACAGAUUGUCUCCCAUUAUGUGAUCAUCAGUUG